UGUGGAUGAUUGUGUUACACUUGU
rnacentral:siRNA from 1 species